UGACGGUACUUGACUAAGAAGCCCCGGCUAACUACGUGCCAGCAGCCGCGGUAAUACGGAAGGUCCGGGCGUUAUCCGGAUUUAUUGGGUUUAAAGGGAGCGUAGGCGGGCCUUUAAGUCAGUGGUAAAAGCGUGUGGCUCAACCAUACCACGCCAUUGAAACUGGAGGCCUUGAGUGCACACAGGGAUGCUGGAAUUCGUCGUGUAGCGGUGAAAUGCUUAGAUAUGACGAAGAACUCCGAUCGCGAAGGCAGGUGUCCGGGGUGUAACUGACGCUGAGGCUCGAAAGUGCGGGUAUCAAACAGGAUUAGAUACCCUG
rnacentral:rRNA from 1 species